GAGUUUGAUCCUGGCUCAGGAUGAACGCUAGCGGCAGGUCUAACACAUGCAAGUCGAGGGGUAACAGGAGAAAGCUUGCUUUCUUGCUGACGACCGGCGCACGGGUGCGUAACGCGUAUGCAACCUACCUCUUACUGGGGCAUAGCCCAGAGAAAUUUGGAUUAACUCCCCAUAGUACCAUUAGAUCGCAUGGUUUAUUGGUUAAAGGUUACGGUAAGAGAUGGGCAUGCGUCCCAUUAGCUAGUUGGUGAGGUAACGGCUCACCAAGGCUUCGAUGGGUAGGGGUUCUGAGAGGAUGAUCCCCCACACUGGUACUGAGACACGGACCAGACUCCUACGGGAGGCAGCAGUGAGGAAUAUUGCGCAAUGGACGAAAGUCUGACGCAGCCAUGCCGCGUGCAGGAAGACGGCGCUACGCGUUGUAAACUGCUUUUAUAUACCAAGAAACCUCAGGACGUGUCCUGAGCUGACGGUAGUAUAUGAAUAAGCACCGGCUAAACUCCGUGCCAGCAGACGCGGUAAUACGGAGGGUGCAAGCGUGAUCCGGAAUUAUAGGGUUAAAGGGUCCGUAGGCGGAUGAUUAAGUAAGUGGUG
rnacentral:rRNA from 1 species